GGGGUAACCUAACCCCCGGGGGAACUCGGGAUAGCCUUCCUAACGGAGGGGUAAUAACCGGGCGGAUCUGGCCGGAGGACAUCCUGUGGCCAGGAUAGGAAUUUCGCCUCGGGAGGGGCUCACGUAGUAUUAGCUUGUUGGCGGGGUAACGGCCCACCAAGGCCAAGAUGCUUAGCGGGUGUGAGAGCACGACCCGCGCCACUGGCACUGAGACACUGGCCAG
rnacentral:rRNA from 1 species